UACGUAGGGGGCAAGCGUUGUCCGGAAUUAUUGGGCGUAAAGAGCUCGUAGGCGGUGUGUCGCGUCGGUCGUGAAAACUUGGGGCUUAACCCUGAGCUUGCGGUCGAUACGGGCAUCACUGGAGUUCGGCAGGGGAGACUGGAAUUCCUGGUGUAGCGGUGAAAUGCGCAGAUAUCAGGAGGAACACCGGUGGCGAAGGCGGGUCUCUGGGCCGUAACUGACGCUGAGGAGCGAAAAGCGUGGGGGAGCGAACAGG
rnacentral:rRNA from 1 species